AUGUCGUGGAGAAACGUCACGGACUGCUGCGAAUGGGAAGGCAUAACCUGCAACAGGAGCGGGGGCGUCACUGAGGUCUCGCUGGCAUCUAAAGGGCUUGAAGGGCGCAUCUCGCCACACCUUGCCGGCCUCACCGGCCUGCUGCGUGUCAACCUUUCACACAACUCAUUCUCCGGAGGCCUUCCGCCGGAGCUCAUGUAUUCCAGAAGCAUCGUCGUCCUCGACGUCAGCUUUAGCAGGCUUAGUGGGGUGCUGCAUGAGCCGCCGUCUUCGGUUACCACCACCCUGACUCUGCAGGUACUGAACAUCUCGAGCAACCAAUUCGGUGCAGAAUUUCCAUCCUACACAUGGAAGUUGAUGCGGAAUUUGGUCGUCCUCAACGCAAGCAACAACAGCUUCACUGGGCACAUACCACCUUCUCUCUGCCUUUCGUCAUCAUUGGCCAUGCUUGACCUUUGUUACAACCAAUUGAGUGGCGGUAUUCCUGCUGCACUUGGCGAUUGCUCCACACUCGAAGUGUUCAAGGUUGGGCACAACAACCUAAGUGGGACUCUCCCUGCUGAACUCUUCCAUGCCACUUCCCUGGAGCACCUCUCCUUCCCCAACAACGGAUUACAAGGAGAACUUGAUGGCGCAAACAUAGUAAAACUCAGUAAUCUGGUUACUCUCGACCUCCGAGAAAACAAAUUCAGUGGGAAGAUCCCAGGCUCCAUAGGUCAGUUGAAGAGGCUAGAGGAGCUCUAUUUGGGUAACAAUAACAUGUCUGGGGAGCUGCCAUCAACUCUGAGUAACUGCACGCGUCUCAUGGUCAUUGAUCUGAAGAUCAACAACUUCAGUGGAGAUCUAGGCAGGGUCAACUUCUCCACCCUACAGAACCUAACACAUUUAGAUAUUCUGAGAAAUAACUUCAGUGGCAUAGUUCCAGAAAGCAUAUACUCAUGCAGCAAUUUGAUUGCACUGCGGGUGUCGUUGAACCAUUUCCAUGGUGAGAUCUCACCAAGAAUAGGGAAUCUGCACCUAUCUUUCCUGUCACUUGCUAGAAACCCUUUUACAAAUAUCACAAAAGCUUUUCAUGUCUUCAAUAGCUUCAGGAACAUCACCACUCUGAUUAUUGCCGAGAACUUCGUGAAUGAGAUGAUGCCACAAGAUGAGACCCUAGAUGGUUUUCGGAAUCUUCAAUAUAUCCACAUGGCCGACAGCGCAUUAACUGGGCACUUGCCAGUUUGGUUAUCAAAGCUCAGAAACUUGAAGGUACUAAAGUUGUCCAACAAUCGACUUACUGGACCAAUGCCAGGCUGGAUCAACUCCCUACAUAGCCUGUUCUAUCUGGAUGUAUCAAACAACAGUUUUACCGGGCAAAUCCCAAUCACCUUGAUGGAGAUCCCAAUGCUCAAAGAUAAUACAGCAGCUUAUUUGGAUCCUGGCCAAGUUGAACUACCUCUCUUUUGGAGGAAUAUAUCGCGCCAAUACCAUUUUCUUACAGCUUUCCCUACUCUCUUGAAUCUGAGCAUCAACAAUUUCACAGGUGUGAUUCCACCGGAGAUUGGUCAACUGAAAGUGCUUUCUGAACUCGAUUUCAGCUCUAACAAAUUAUAUGGAGUGAUUCCGCUGUCGGUCUGCAAUCUCACGAAGUUGGAGGUGCUAGACUUGUCUAAUAACCAUCUGAGGGGUGUAAUCCCCGCGGCACUGGAGAGACUUCACUUCCUUUCUGCAUUCAACAUUUCUAACAAUGACCUAGAAGGGCCUGUACCAGCAGGAGGCCAGUUGAGCACAUUUCCAGAUUCCAGUUUUGAUGGGAACCCAAAGCUGUGUGGCACUAUGCUUGUUCACCGUUGUAGUUCAACCGGAGCAGAUGUUGUCUACGUUAUCUCUGCAAAACAGCUCAGCGUCAAGGUCAUAUUUUUUGUUGGCUUUGGUUUGUUUUUUGGAGUAGGCGUGCUAUAUGAUCAGCUAGUGUUAUAUAGGUAUUUCGGCUAA
rnacentral:rRNA from 1 species